rnacentral:misc_RNA from 1 species
CGACAACGUAUCCUCGACGCCUCUUCAUUUGUUGGCAUGAGCAUGCGCUCGGCCGAUGUUUGGUUUUCCUGUGUUGAAUACCUAUCACAAAGGCAUUCCGACGGCUACAAAUAUCCAUUUCCCGCCUUGCGCCGCAUGCUCCCCGUGGGCAUGCUGCGCGGGUCGGGCCACAUAGCGCGCGUCGUGUGUCGCUCCGCAUUCGACCUCCGGGUAGUUCGGGUUGACGACCCACGACGUGACGCUCGGUCUCUCGGAUACGGAACAUCACGUGGGUACGAGGCCUUCGGCCUCCGAGCACCACAACAAGCGUUCUACGCAUCGUGCGAACGACCGUCGUUCCCGGUCUUUGGUCGGUCUCUUGUAGAUCGGCUCGAGUCGGGACGACGUCGGUG